rnacentral:rRNA from 1 species
UCGAAGUCAUAACGACUCUCGGCAACGGAUAUCUCGGCUCUCGCAUCGAUGAAGAACGUAGCGAAAUGCGAUACUUGGUGUGAAUUGCAGAAUCCCGUGAACCAUCGAGUCUUUGAACGCAAGUUGCGCCCGAAGCCUCACGGCCGAGGGCACGCCUUCCUGGGCGUCACGCA